UGAAACGGGCCGCCCCCGCCAGAGGACCCUUAACUCUGUUUCUAUAAUGUUUCUUCUGAGUAAAACAAGCAAAUAAAUUAAAACUUUCAACAACGGAUCUCUUGGCUCUGGCAUCGAUGAAGAACGCAGCGAAAUGCGAUAAGUAAUGUGAAUUGCAGAAUUCAGUGAAUCAUCGAAUCUUUGAACGCACAUUGCGCCCGCCAGUAUUCUGGCGGGCAUGCCUGUUCGAGCGUCAUUACAACCCUCAGGCCCCCGGGCCUGGCGUUGGGGAUCGGCGGAGCCUCUCUGUGGGCACACGCCGUCCCCCAAAUACAGUGGCGGUCCCGCCGCAGCUUCCAUCGCGUAGUAGCUAACACCUCGCGACUGGAGAGCGGCGCGGCCACGCCGUAAAACACCCAACUCUUCUGAAGUUGACCUCGAAUCAGGUAGGAAUACCCGCUGAACUUAAGCAUAUCAAUAAGCGGAGGAAAAGAAACCAACAGGGAUUGCCUCAGUAACGGCGAGUGAAGCGGCAACAGCUCAAAUUUGAAAUCUGGCUCUCGGGCCCGAGUUGUAAUUUGUAGAGGAUGCUUUUGGUGAGGUGCCUUCCGAGUUCCCUGGAACGGGACGCCAUAGAGGGUGAGAGCCCCGUCUGGUUGGACGCCGAACCUCUGUAAAGCUCCUUCGACGAGUCGAGUAGUUUGGGAAUGCUGCUCUAAAUGGGAGGUAUAUGUCUUCUAAAGCUAAAUACCGGCCAGAGACCGAUAGCGCACAAGUAGAGUGAUCGAAAGAUGAAAAGAACUUUGAAAAGAGAGUUAAACAGUACGUGAAAUUGUUGAAAGGGAAGCGCUUGUGACCAGACUUGGGCUUGGUUGAUCAUCCGGGGUUCUCCCCGGUGCACUCUUCCGGCCCAGGCCG
rnacentral:rRNA from 1 species